CUACGGAGGGCGCGAACGUUGCUCGGAAUCAUUGGGCGUAAAGCGCACGUAGGCGGCCUGAUAAGUCGGAUGUGAAAGCCCACGGCUCAACCGUGGAAGUGCAUUCGAAACUGUCAGGCUUGAGUAUGGGAGAGGGUUGCGGAAUUCCCGGUGUAGAGGUGAAAUUCGUAGAUAUCGGGAGGAACACCAGCGGCGAAGGCGGCAGCCUGGACCAAUACUGACGCUGAGGUGCGAAAGCGUGGGGAGCAAACAGGAUUAGAAACCCCGGUAGUCC
rnacentral:rRNA from 1 species